UGUCGCUCGUGCGUGUGUCGUAUCGCGUCGUGUCGUGUCAUUGCGCGUCCUCCGUGUCGUAUCGCGCGCGCGAUACGAUAAGACAAAGGGCCGCGUUAUCUCGCGGCCUUUCUCGCACGUGGGAGAGAAAGAGGGAGAGAGACAGAGAAAGGGAGAGAUAGACGGAGUGCACGUCAGGAAUGCACACAGCGAUCGCGGAUACCGGCCCAUAUAACUGAGGGAGAAGCAUGCGGCGUGUACAACGCACACAGAGAGAUACCCGUAACCCGGGUGCAAUCCCGAUUGCAGUGCUGAUGCAUCCCGGCGCUCCGAGAAUCGCCACCGAUCGCGUUGUCCUAACAUCGUGUCUCUCCAUCAUGCCGCUACGCGUUUCGUAAUAAGGCGCUCAGCGAACAAAACAAACGUGCAUGCUUAUGCAAAGAGCCGCAGUUUUAUUUGAAAGCUAUAACACGUAUUUCCGCAAUGAGCGAGAUACGAGGAAUUUAAAUUUUUCCCAUCAAGUGGCUACACCGAUCUGAAAGCGUGUUCUGCGUUUUCGAUUAAGAGAAUUGCGCCGUUAAGUCCGUUGGGUCAAGAUACGUCUUCCUGGACCGGUAUACGGACCGGCGAAAUCGCGAGAUACACGCGAAGACGGGAUGAUAGUUAUUUCGAAUCCGAUCGGUGGUGCUUUGCCCGCCGAACCGGCGAAACAGACUGGACCAGAUGUUGUCUAAAUCCGUACCAUCACGCCGACAUGAACUUUUCUCCUCGCCUCUCUCUCUUCUCCUUUGCUUCUCGGUACUACUGUGCAGAGCCAUUUUCCAUCCUUACUACUACUAGCUGUCACCGUCAAGACUAACAUCCGAAGAUUCCCUAUCUUUCUGUCUAAACUAAGAUGUACACCGGCGAAACUUCCCACUUUUCACAUUCCGAGAUUCAAGGAAAAAAGGAAAGAAAAAAGUAAAGUAAGAAAUGUUUAUGUUCAAGUUUCGAUUAGUUCCUCGGGCAUUUUUGCAUUCAAUUAUUUGGCACGGAAGGUAAUGUGGAAGUUUUAGACGCGAUCGAUUGGGCACGCGCAAUAAAGGGUAGUAAAGGGACAAUAGCUAUCAAAAAUUUGAAUGUAUUUAUCGCGCUCCCCAUCUCGUUACUCGCUCGCUACAUUCGCGCGUGGAGUCGCGCGCGUGCGGCGACGACGGACGCGG